rnacentral:rRNA from 1 species
CCUACGGGUGGCAGCAGUGAGGAAUAUUGGUCAAUGGACGAGAGUCUGAACCAGCCAAGUAGCGUGAAGGAUGACUGCCCUAUGGGUUGUAAACUUCUUUUAUAAAGGAAUAAAACGAGGCACGUGUGCCUUUUUGCAUGUACUUUAUGAAUAAGGAUCGGCUAACUUCGUGCCAGCAGCCGGGGUAAUACGGAGGAUGCGGGCGUUUUCCGGAUUUAAUGGGUUUAAAGGUAGCGUAGAUGGGUUUUUAAGUCAGUUGUGAAAAUUUGCGGCUCAACCGCAAAAUGGCAAUUGAUACUGGCGGUCUUGAGUACGGGUGAGGUAGGCGGAAUGCGUGGUGUAGCGGUGAAAUGCAUAGAUAUCACGAAGAACCCCGAUUGCGAAGGCAGCAUACUAAACUGUGACUGACAUUGAUGCUCGAAAGUGUGGGUAUCGAACAGGAUUAGAUACCCGUGUAGUC